CUGCUUCCUUCAACCGAGACUCUUUUCAAUUUCAACUCAACGAUCAAUCUUCAAUUCGUAACCAAGAAAUUAGUAAUUAAAAUCUGUGUUUGAAUCCCAAUAAUCAAAUCAACUAGGGUUUUUUAUCUAUUGAAGAUAGAAGUUCUAAAGCGUUUCCAGGAAUUAUUUCGGCAAACGACGUAACGGACUCGAAAAACCUAAAUGUAAGGGUUUCCUAUACUUUAAGUACUCUUUUUCUAUUAACGGGCAUAAUCAUUGUUUUUAAGAUUCUAUUAGUUGUGAUGGGAUUGCGAAAAUUUGUAUUGGAUUUUGAAGAAUCAGGGUUGCACUUGCGCAGUUUUUGUGCAAGUGUUUUUGUUAGCUUAGUGUAGCCUAGGGUUUUGUUUGUUCAUAUUUAAGUUCGACAGCAGAUUGCUUAUGGUAAUCCAAACACUGAAGUGGUGCUAGGAUCAUGCGAAAGACAACAUGGGUGGGUUGUGUCGUGCAUUAAACGCAGGUUUUGAAGUAAAAGACAAGCCAUAUUCAUGAGGAUCAAGAGUCAAGAUAUUGGAAGUACUAUCAAUUCUCCCGACAUUUGAGAACCGAGGAUUGUCUUCAACAACUUACUACUUAACUUUUAUUUCUUAUUAGUUUAUAAUCACAAACUUUCCAGAGAAUCAAAUUAUUUUCUUUUAGUUUUACUCAUUAUAAUUGAGAAAUUUACGACCCUGAACUAACUUACUAGGCCAUGUUGAAGCUGCACAGAACUUAUAUUAAAAAUGUUCAAAGUUCAAGCCAUGUAUAUUGUUGUUGGAAACAGCAGAACUCUUAACUUCCUGUAGACUGUAUACCGGGUUAACCUGGAAAUCAUCUGGAACUACUGCAUGCUUAAAUUGUUUUGUACAAGGUGUCCCUGUUGAAUUAUGGUUGUGUAUGGUGGUGCGUUGACUCAUUUGUAAAAAAACAUAUGGAUGUUCUGUUGAUGUUGGAUCAUAGGUACACGCAAACAUAUAUGGUGUUUGCAUAUUUAAAUGGGGGACUGUACAUGGCGUACGGGGCAGGUGUGAAUUGAUUGAAGACAUAUUUUCAAAGUGUUUUCAUUUGAUGUACAUCAGACCGACUCCGAAGAUGCUAAAUGUGGUGAGAAAACAUCAAGGACUACCUUUGGACUUGAGUGAUCCGAACCAUUGGUUACAUUUGUACUCU